CCCGUCGUCCUUCCUCUAAACCUUCCCCUGAUUCUCCUCUCUUGCUCUCGCGCUUUCAUCUCCGAUCUCGUCGCUCUCUUUCUCAAUCUCUCUCGUGAGGUCUAACGAUGGGGAGAGGUUCAUCCAGGUCCAACCCGUCGAGGCCGCGGAAGAGGGUGGAGGCGGAGACGGCCAGCACGCCAAGGAUGAGAGGGCCUUCACCAGAUGCCAGGCAUGCAAUAAGGAUGUCGCUGUUGUUCUCAUAGACGUGCACAGCUGCGGUCUCGAUUCCAAAACCAAAAUGACCCUUGGUACGCUCUUUUGUGAUUUCAUGUAUGAUUGAUUUCUUAUGUCUUGUUCUGAUAGUGUUACUGCAGCAGAGUCUUAGGUUGUCCAGAAAGCAGUCGAGGCAAAGAAGCCGACAGAGAAAAAGAGGGUCGCCUCAUCUGAGAGUAAGGAGAAGAAGGCAAAGAAGGGGAAGAAGUCCAAAGACCCUAGUGCUCCCAAGCGCCCUCCAACUGCUCAAGUUCUCAUUUAAACUAUUGUUAAGCCUUUUUAGGACUCCCCUAACUAAUUUCGAUCUAUGUAAUGUUGCUGUAGGGAAGACUUUAGGAAGUCAUACAAAGAGGCUAACCCCGAUAACAAUUUGAUUUGUUCUCUGCUCAUGAUUUUAAAUUAAGGUUCUUCAGUUUGUUCCAUUGUUACUUUUUUUGACUGGAUCAUAACUGGUGUCCAAGGAAGGUGAUGAGAAGUGGAAGGCCAUGUCAGAUGGAGUGUUUUAUAGACUUUUGGAUUAUUAAUUUGUUAAAUAUAAUUUAUGAGUGGCCAUAUUUAAAUUCUUAUUGCCUAAAACUAGGAAAAGAAACCCUACAUUGAAAGGGCAGUAGAGCUGAAAAUAGGGAAAGCGUUAGAGAAACACAAUCAAGAAGAUGAUGGGAAGUAUGUGGAUUGUUCAUCAACCCUAGUUCAAUCACAAUUUGCUAUUUUUAUGUGUAAAGUGAUUGCUUCUUCCUCUUUUUACAGGAAAAGAAAGGGUCGUAUAGGGAAGA